UUUUAGCCCCGAUUGCAGCGGCAUCCUUUUGCGGAACGCAGUGUAGCAAAAGAUAUAGCGGAAAGCGGGGAAGUGU
rnacentral:sRNA from 1 species